GAUCGUCAUGUAAUUUCACAACACUAUACCCUUGUGAGAGCUCUACAGUGCAGAUUCGUAACGAUUCUGAGGUGCUUGUGCGCUACGGGGACGAAAGUUGUUAGCGCCGUUCGUCCCUAGCCGAGCUGGCAGCACAGAAUCGACAGAAUGCGUACCGGCAAGGCGAAGAAGCCGUGUCCGAGGUGUCCAUGCUCCUGCAGUCCUGUGGCGACCCUGUGGAGCUGGAUCCGGUCUCGUGGAAACACAGCCGGCUCAUCAGUCACAAAACGAGUGGGCUGCUGCUGAGGUACCCCAGCUGGAGUCGAGAGGUGAGAAGAUGUGGCACGACGGGACAGGAACAUAAGCCUGGAGGGAAAGCCGCGAGCAAAGCCGUGGUCGGUGCUCUGGUGGACGGCCUGCAGAUGAA